UAAAAUACAAAUAGAAACAACAAAAAUUAAAAAGCAGAGGGAUGAGGUUAGAGUUUAUGUUAGUUUUCGCCUUGCUUGUUUAUGCAAUCAGUGUUAAGUUUUCAUCAGUUAAAAAUAAUGGGUUAUGAGAUAGCAUUCACAAGCCUCAUGGUAACCUCAAAUCUAAAAACAUACAAUACACAUGCAAAUAAAAGCCAGAAUUUAAGGCAUAUCACCUGAGAAAAUCACCCUCACUAGAUGGAAGACAGGAAGAAAGGAAAGAAGGAAGAAAAGACCACAAAACAAGCAGAAAGCAAAAUGCAGGAGUACGUCCUUACUUAUCACUAAUAAUGCUGAAUUUAAAUGAACUAAACUCUCCAAUCAAAAGAUGUACAAUGGUUGAAUGGAUUAAAAAAGAAGACCCAAUAAUCUGUUGCCUACAAGAAACACACUUCACCUAUAAAGACCUACAUAGACUAAAAAUGAAGGGACAGAAUAAGAAAUUUUAUGUGAAUGGAAACCAAAAAAAAGCAGAAGCUAUACUUAUACCAGCCAAAAUAGAUUUCAAUACAAAAACUAUAAGAAGAGACAAAGAAGAUCAUUGUAUAAUAAUAAAGGGGUUAAUUCAUCAAGAGGAUAUAACAAUUAUAUAUGCACCCAACACUGGAGCACUCAAAUAUAUAUAGCAAAUAUUAAUUGAGCUAAAGAGAGAGACAGACUCCAUUACAAUGAUAGCUGGAGACUUGAACACCCCACUUUCAGCAUUGGACAGAACAUAUAGACAGAUAAUCACAAAAGAAACAUCAGACUUUAUCUGCACUAUAGACCUAAUAGAUAUUUACAGACUAUUUAAUCCAAUGGCUACAGAAUAUACAUUCUUUUCCUCAGCAUAUAGAUCAUUCCCAAGAAUAGACCAUAUGUUAAGCCACAAAACAAGUCUUAAAAAUUAAAAAAAAAAUGGAAAUCAUGUCAAAAAUUUAUUUUAAAUUUUUCAUUGAAAUUAAGAAGGGAUAAAUUUCUGGAACUACAUGAAAAUGGAAACACAACAUACCAAAACCUAUGGAAUACACUGAAAGCAGUAUUAACGGGAAAGUUUAUAGCAAAAAGCACUUACAUCAAAAAAGUAGAAAAACUUCAAAUGAGCAACAUAAUACAUCUUAAAGAAUUAGAAAACCAAGAGCAAAUCAAACCCAAAGUUAGUAGAAGAAAAGAAAUAAUAAAUAUCAGAGCAGAAAUAAAUGAAAUGGAAGUAAACAAAAAUCAAUGAAAUGAAAAGUUGAUUGUUUUGAAAAGAUCAAUUCACAAAGCUUUACACAGACUAAGAAAAAAGAGAGAAGACUAAAUAAAUUAGAGAUAAAAAAGGAGACAUUAUAACUGACACCUCAGAAAUGCAAAGGAUCAUUAGAGACUACCAUGAGGAACUGUAUGCCAAUUAAUUGGAAAGUCUAAAAGAAAUAGAUAAAUUCCUAGACACAUACAACCUACCAAGAUUGAACCAUAAAAAAACCUAAACCUGAGUAAACUAAUAACAAGUAAUAAGAUCAAAGUUGUAAUAAAAGUCUCCUAGCAAGAAAAGCCUGGGACCUGAUGUAUUCACUGCUGAAUUUUACCAAACAUUUAAAGUAGCACUAAUACUAAACCUACUCAUACUAUUACAAAAAAUAGAAGAGGAGGGAAUACUUUCAAACAUAUUAUACCAGGCUAGUAUUACCCUGAUAUCAGAACCAGACAAAAAGAUAUCAAUCAAGAAAACUACAAGCCAAUAUCCCUGAUGAACAUUGAUGCAAAUAUCAUAAACAAAAUACUAGCAAACUGAAUUCAACAACACAUUUGAAAGAUCAUUAAUUAUGACCAAGUGGGAUUUAUCCCAUGGAUGCAAGGAUGGUUCAAUAUAUGCACAUCAAUCAGUGUCACACAUUGCAUCAACAGAAUGAAGGACAAAUACCAUAUGAUCAUUUCAGUUGAUGCUGAAAAAGCAUUUGAUAAAAUUCAACAUCCCUUUGUGGUAAAAACCCUAAAAAAACUGGGUGUUGAAGGAACAUACCUCAACACAAUAAAAGCUAUAUAUGACAGACCCAAAACUAGGAUCAUACUGAAAUGGGCGAAAACUGAAAGCCUUUUCCCCAAGAUCUGAAACAUUAUAAGGAUGCCCACUUUCACCACUGUUAUUCAACAUAGUACUGGAAGUCUUUGCAGGAGCAAUCAGAUAAGAGAAAGAAAUAAAGGGCAUCCAAAUUUGAACAGAAGAAGUCAAAUUAUCCCUGUUUUGCACAUGAUAUGAUCUUAUAUUUGGAAAAAUGUAAAUUCUUCACAGGAAACUCUUAGGAUUGAUAAACAAAUUCAGUUAAGUUGCAGGAUCCAAUAUCAACAUAAAAAAUGAGUAGCCUUAUAUAUGCAAAUUACAAACAAUCUGAAAAAGAAAUCAAUAAAGUAAUCCCAUUUACAAUACCUGAAAAUAAGAUACCUAGGAAUAAACUUAAUCGAAGUGAUUAAGCAACAAAAACUACAAUAAAAACUAUAAAACUUUGCUGAACAAAAUUGAGGAGGACACACAAAAAAAGGAAGGAUACUCCAUGUUCAUGGAUUGGAAGAAUCAGUAUUGUUAAAAGAUCCCUACUACCAAAAGUAACCUACACAUUCAAUCAAAUGUCUAUCAAAAUACCAAUGACAUUCAUCACAGAAAGAAGAAAAAUAAUCCUAAAAUUUAUGUGGAACCACAAAAGACCCAGAAUACCGAAAGCCAUCCUGAGCAAAAUGAACAAAACUGGAAGAAUCACAUUACCUACUCAGAGCUAUAGUAACCAAAACAGCAUGUUACUGCCAUAUAAAAAACAAAACCAAAAAACAAAACAAAAAACAGUGGAACAGAAUAGAGAAGCCAGAAACAAAUCCAUUAAUCUGUAGUGAAUUCAUUUUUUAAAAAGGUGCCAAGAUCAUACACUGGGUAAGAAUGAUCUCUUUAAUAAACAGUUCUGGGACAACUUCAUAUUCAUAUGCAGAAACUAAACCCUUAUCUCUGUCAUAUACAAAAAUCAAAUCAAAAUAAAGACUUAUAUAUAAGACCUCAAGCUAGGAAACCAUUAAAAGAAAACAUUGGGGGCCAGAUGCAGUGGCUCACACCUGUAAUCCCAGCACUUUGAGAGGUGGAGGUGGGUGGAUCACUUGAAGUCAGGAGUUCCAGACCAGCCUGGCCAACAUAAUGAUAUCCCAUCUCUACUAAAAAUACAAAAAUUAUCUGGGCAUGGUGGCGGGUGCCUGUAAUUGAGAGGCUGAAGGUAGGAGAUUCACCUGAGCCCUGGAAGUGGAGGUUGCAGUGAGCCGAGAUCGCGCCACUGCACUCCAUUCUGAGUGACAGAGCAAGACUCCAUCUCAAAAAUUAAAAAAAGAAAGAAAACACUGAAACAUUGGGGAAACUCUCCAGGAUAUUGGUCUUAGCAAAGAUUUCUAGAGUAACACCCAACAAGGACAGGCAACCAAAGCAAAAAUGAACAAAUGGGAUUACAUCAAGUUAAAAAUGUUCUGCACAGUAAAAGAAACACAAAGCGAAGAGACAGCCCACAGAAUGAGAGAAAAUGUUUUCAAGUUAUCCAUCUGACAAGGUAUUAAUAACCAGAAUCUAUAAGGAGCUCAAAUAAGUCUAUAAGAAAAAAUAUAAUGAUCCAUUAAAAUGGGCAAAAUAUCUAGUAGACAUUACUCAAAAGAAGACAUACAAAUUAACAGCAAGCAGACAUAUGAAAAGGUGCUCAGUAUCAUUGAUCAUCAGAGAAAUGCAAAUCAGAACUACAAUAAGAUGUCAUCUCACCAAGUUAAAAAAGACGGGCUACCAUAUGAUCCAGCAAUCCCACUGUUGGGUAUAUAUCCAAACGAAAGCAAAAGUAUAUUGAAGAGAUAUCUGCACUCCAAUGUUUAUUGCAGCACUAUAUAAUUCACACUAAUCAAGAUUUGGAAGCAAUCCAUGUGUUAAUCAGGAGACAAAUGGAUAAAGAAAAUGUGGUACAUAUAUACAAUGGACUACUAUUCAGUCAUAAAAAAGAAUGAGAUUCUGUCAUUUGUACAGCAUAGAUGGAACUGAAGGACAUUGUUAAGUGAUGUAACCGAGGCACAGAAAGACAAACUUCUUAUGUUCUCACAUAAGAAGAAUUUUAUGGGAAUUUAUUUAUGGGAGAUAAAAAUUAAAGCAGUUGAACUCAUGGAGAUAGAGUGUAGAAGGAUGUUUCCCAGAGGCAGGAAGUGUAGUGCUGGGAAGCUCGGGGGGUGGGCAGAGGGUAGGGGUCACAGAAGUGUGACAGUUAAUGAUAGAUAUAAAAAUAUAUUUUGUGAAGAGACGAAGACUGAGCGGUUGUGUCCACGUUGCUGACCUCGAGCAGCAGUCGGCUUCUGCACGUAGAACCCGGGAGUAGGAGACUCAGAAUCGAAUCUCUUCUCCCUCCUCCCUCCUGUUUUCGGCUUUGUGACAAACCUUAUCAUCAAACACAAUGGCCAGCAACAUUACCAACAAGACAGAUCCUCACUCCAUGAACUCCCGUGUGUUCAUUGGGAAUCUCAGCACUCCUGUGGUCAAGAAAUCUGAUGUGGAGGCAAUCCUUUCGAAGUAUGGCAAAAUUGUGGGCUGCUCUGUUCAUAAGGGCUUUGCCUUCGUUCAAUAUGUUAAUGAGAGAAAUGCCCAGGCUGCUGUAGCAGGAGAGGAUGGCAGAAUGAUUGCUGGCCAGGUUUUAGAUAUUAACCUGGCUGCAGAGCCAAAAGUGAACCAAGGAAAAGCAGGUGUGAAACAAUCUGCAGCGGAGAUGUACAGCUUCUCUUUUGACUUGGACUAUGACUUUCAACGGGAUUAUUAUGAUAGGAUGUACAGUUACCCAGCACGUGUACCUCCUCCUCCUCCUAUUGCUCGGGCUGUAGUGCCCUCGAAACGUCAGCGUGUAUCAGGAAGCACCUCACGAAGGGGCAAAAGUGGCUUCAAUUCUAAGAGUGGACAGCGGGGAUCUUCCAAGUCUGGAAAAUUGAAAGGAGGAUGACCUUCAGGCCAUUAAGAAGGAACUGACCCAGAUAAAACAAAAAGUGGAUUCUCUCCUGGAAAACCUGGAAAAAACUGAAAAGGAACAGAGCAAACAAGCAGUAGAGAUGAAGAACGAUAAGUCAAAAGAGGAGCAGAGCAGCAGCUCUGUGAAGAAAGAUGAGACUCAUGUGAAGAUGGAGUCUGAGGGGGGUGCAGAUGACUCUGCUGAGGAGGGGGACCUACUGGAUGAUGAUGAUAAUGAAGAUCGGGGGGGAUGACCAGCUGGAGUUGAUCAAGGAUGAUGAAAAAGAGGCUGAGGAAGGAGAGGAUGACAGAGACAGCGCCAAUGGCGAGGAUGCCUCUUAAGCACAUAGUGGGGUUUAGAAAUCUUAUCCAUUAUUUCUUUACCUAGGCGCUUGUCUAAGAUCAAAUUUUUCACCAGAUCCUCUCCCCUAGUAUCUUCAGCACAUGCUCACUGUUCUCCCCAUCCUUGUCCUUCCCAUGUUCAUUAAUUCAUAUUUCCUUGCGCCUAGUCCCAUUUUCACUUCCUUUGACGCUCCUAGUAGUUUUGUUAAGUCUUACCCUGUAAUUUUUGCUUUUAAUUUUGAUACCUCUUUAUGACUUAACAAUAAAAAGGAUGUAUGGUUUUUAUCAA